GUACCCCAGAUCUGAAACAUGAUUAACUUAAGUGUAAACACAAGAAUGUGUAAUGUCUGGACAGAUUUAGCCAAACAGAAGAAGAAUAUCAGCUCCCCCCUCUCCAGUUAAUGUCGGCGUCUAGAAAAGGGUAAAGCGCGGCUCUUGACAAACUUAGCACUAACCAAAUGUGGCAAGAGGGGGACAGGUCCGAAAACAAGGCCUUAACACAAACAUGAUUAGUAACCCUCGAUAUUGAUUUUCCCGUCUGGGAUGAAGAUCGGUAGCAGCGCCUGCACCAACGUACCGAUCCUAGGAUCAUCUUUGCUGCAGCAUAUCUUGAUUCUCUCGAUACGAGGAUAGCCCCUGAUUGCCGGUGCUCGCCUUGAUGGUAAUGAAGCAGAUUCAACCUCCUUGCGUGUUUCACAGUGCUCCUGCGGCAUGUCAAAACCACACGGGAGUAUCAACUUUGAUCAUUCUGAUGCUGUAGCAAAGCAGUGCCAGCUAGACAUACAUAUCUGGGAGAAGUAUUACCAUCUUGAGCUUAACAGUUAGCUCUUUCAGCAUGGGCGAGCGAUGGACAAUACGGAACAGUGGGUAGAAGUCAGCAGCCAUGCACCAAUCACCCAGCACCAAGCUCGUCAGAUUGCUGAACAUCGGGCAUGCUUGCAAACCCCUCUCGAAUGUGAGCUUCACAAGCAAUAUGAUCAUGUUAAGGAGUUGAAAACAGAGCAAGCUGAAUAGUUAAUGAUACAAUAUUUCCAUGCUAGCUUGCCAACAUAUAGUAAACAGUACAUAAUCACUUCAAAAAGUAGAUUGUGUCUGACAUUAAAACUAAGAAGCGACUAAUUCGGCAUGCAAAUAUAUUCACCUACGAAUAUGAAAAGGAAAAUAACCCAUCAGUACCUCAGGUAACGGUGCAUGCAACUCCAAUGUUGUGGCAUGUGAAAGGCCAUCAAGUAGAUGAUGAUCUACUUCUGUGUUAUCAUCAUAAUGAAACUCAGACCCUAGACUAAGCGAAGCUGACACUAGAGAAGACAGAUCCCAGGUAACUAUAGCACCACGACGACAUUCUGGGUCAAUGACAGAGAGAUGGGUAAGCUUCCUAGCACCAAUCAGGAGAUCAUUGCCAAUGAUGCAGUCGAUGAUAUGUAGAACCUUGAGUGAGCUCGAUGAGAUCCUCCUUGUAUCGAGAAUGCAACACUCCAACUCUAGAUGUUCGAGCACAGGCCAGUCAUAAUUCAGCGGCUUAUCGAACCAAUCGUUCAAACGGACAUACCAGAGCCUGAUUCUUUUGAGGUACAGAGAAGGAAACAUUGCUGUGCUAUCCAAAAUCAGAUGGUGGUGAAAUCCAGAAAUAUGAAGGAGACGAACUUUGUGCUUGAUGGCAUGACGAAUCCACACAGAACUCUUCUUACUACUGCGAGUCGUGAUGACGACCCGGACCUCAUCCAAGGAAACAGUGCCGUCACGCAAGAGCAGCAAGUGGUCCACGAAGUUCUCCAGCUUGUGGUUAUCAAAGCAAGCAAUGCCCACAUCAUUUUUAACCACGAAGUCUUUGUUGUUGAUGUGGAUAAAUGGAACAGAGCUCCAGAGAUUGCGCCACCUUGGUGAGAGAAGACUUGUGCGCACGACCUCCGGCGUCGGCAGGAAGGACAUCACGUGGUGGAGCAGAUCGUCGGACAGGCUGCUGAGCCUGUCGANNNNNNNNNNAGUGCACUUUAAUGUACAAAAAAAUGUUGUUCUCUCAUCACACGAUAAUCAAGACCAAUAACAUUCUACACAUGGUCUCCUUAAUUUCUACAUACACUUAGCUCAUUAGGGGUUGGGUAAUUAAAAAGGAGAGAGAUGAUGUCUUGUAUCUUCCCAAUGCGUUUUUUAUUUCACUUUAUAAUUUAUUUUAAAAUUUCUAUCGAAAAAGCUAUUUUCCAGUCGACGGGCGUGAACGAUUUGCGAACCCUCCGAUCCGCUUCUGCUCUAGCACGUAAAAAGAGCUCCAAAAAAAUAGUGUCCCUACUAGGAUUUGAAUACACACCAGUUGGUUGUGGCCACGAUGCGCUACCAGUUGAGAUGACUAUCUAUUCUGUUUCAUUUGCAGAUUAAUUGGUAUUUCUACCUUAAUAAAUUCUAAAAAUGCUGAUAUUUUUUAGAUGUUCAUGUUAGUGUAACAAGCGUACUUGUCAAUUUUCAUGCAAAACGGGAUAGCGUCGCUUCGUUUUUUAAGAUAACAUUUGUUGUUCAACUUGUUUUUUUUUGUUUUUGCACAUGUCAACAUGCUUGAAGGGGAGCCUUGGCGCAGUGGUAAAGCUGCUGCCUUGUGACCAUGAGGUCAUGGGUUCAAGUCCUGGAAACAGCCUCUUACAGAAAUGUAGGAAAAGGCUGCGUACUAUAGACCCAAAGUGGUCGGACCUUUCUCUGGACCCUGUGCAAGCGGGAGCUACAUGCACCAGGUUGCACAUGUCAACAUGCUUAAGCUCCCCCCCCCCUCCCCCUAAAAAUUAUAUAUAUAUAUAUAUAUAUAUUCAAACAAAUUUGAACUUGGCAAAAUAUAUUUUUGGCGCGCAUGAGCAUAUACUCCCUAGAGCCAAAAACAAUAUCCGCCACUCCUACCUCUUUUUAGAUUUUUUUUUGUGGCAUCAAACACUCUACACUAGUCCUGUAGGAUUCAAAUUCAAAUGAGCAUACCACUCCAGUCGUGUAUUCAUUCUAUUCCUGCCUUUUGAGAAUCCUGCGAAUUAAAGAGGGCCUAAAUGUGUAACCCGCUGACAAGUGAGGUCCAUGCGACAUAAGAACUACUUCCUCCGUUCCAUAAUAUAAGAACGUUUUUCAAACUAACAUAGUUUGGAAAACGUUCUUAUAUUAUGGGACAUAGGGAGUAUAUAAAAGGUUAUAGUUUUAGAGAAUCUGAGAAAGUGGAGGGCUUCAAAACCUUUGAAGGAGAAGCCAUUCUAAAGCUCUCUGUUUAGGGAAUCUUUUAGAGUUGCUCUUAGCAAGUCAUGGCUAGUGACAAAUCAAGUGUUAUAUAAGGAGGUAAGGCGACCUAAGGCGAGCACCACCGGCGCCUUAUCACCUAAGUGUCUAAGGCAGGAUGCAUUAAAACGAUUUAUAUCAAUUAUUUGAUACCGCCUUUUAUUUUUAUCUUUUUUAGAAAUACUUGUAACUACAAAUACAAUGUUUUGGAUGAAGAUCCAAAAAAUUACAAAGUAAUUCCUAAAAGUAGGAAUUGCAAUUAAACCACUUAAACCACUAUUUCAAAAUUUGUACCAUGAUCUAAAGGGUGUCACAUGAUUCAUGUUAGUCAAAUUUCUGUGCCAGAAUGCCUCAACACACGUACCCCAGAUCUGAAACAUGAUUAACUUAAGUGUAAACACAAGAAUGUGUAAUGUCUGGACAGAUUUAGCCAAACAGAAGAAGAAUAUCAGCUCCCCCCUCUCCAGUUAAUGUCGGCGUCUAGAAAAGGGUAAAGCGCGGCUCUUGACAAACUUAGCACUAACCAAAUGUGGCAAGAGGGGGACAGGUCCGAAAACAAGGCCUUAACACAAACAUGAUUAGUAACCCUCGAUAUUGAUUUUCCCGUCUGGGAUGAAGAUCGGUAGCAGCGCCUGCACCAACG
rnacentral:lncRNA from 1 species